GAUCAUGGCUCAGGAUGAACGCUGGCGGCGUGCUUAACACAUGCAAGCCGAGCGAAGCAAUUUAAGUGAAGUUUUCGGAUGGAUCUUAGAUUGACUGAGCGGCGGACGGGUGAGUAACGCGUGGAUAACCUGCCUCACACAGGGGGAUAACAGUUAGAAAUGACUGCUAAUACCGCAUAAGCGCACGGUACCGCAGUGUACAGUGUAAACGAAAACCGUCGGUGGU
rnacentral:rRNA from 1 species